GAUGAACGCUGGCGGCGUGCCUAAUACAUGCAAGUCGAGCGAACGGACGAGAAGCUUGCUUCUCUGAUGUUAGCGGCGGACGGGUGAGUAACACGUGGAUAACCUACCUAUAAGACUGGGAUAACUUCGGGAAACCGGAGCUAAUACCGGAUAAUAUUUUGAACCGCAUGGUUCAAAAGUGAAAGACGGUCCUGCUGUCACUUAUAGAUGGAUCCGCGCUGCAUUAGCUAGUUGGUAAGGUAACGGCUUACCAAGGCAACGAUGCAUAGCCGACCUGAGAGGGUGAUCGGCCACACUGGAACUGAGACACGGUCCAGACUCCUACGGGAGGCAGCAGUAGGGAAUCUUCCGCAAUGGGCGAAAGCCUGACGGAGCAACGCCGCGUGAGUGAUGAAGGUCUUCGGAUCGUAAAACUCUGUUAUUAGGGAAGAACAUAUGUGUAAGUAACUGUGCACAUCUUGACGGUACCUAAUCAGAAAGCAGCGGCUAACUACGUG
rnacentral:rRNA from 1 species